rnacentral:rRNA from 1 species
CAGUCGCCGCGGUAAUACGUAGGUGGCAAGCGUUAUCCGGAAUUAUUGGGCGUAAAGCGCGCGCAGGCGGUUUCUUAAGUCUGAUGUGAAAGCCCACGGCUCAACCGUGGAGGGUCAUUGGAAACUGGGGAACUUGAGUGCAGAAGAGAAAAGCGGAAUUCCACGUGUAGCGGUGAAAUGCGUAGAGAUGUGGAGGAACACCAGUGGCGAAGGCGGCUUUUUGGUCUGUAACUGACGCUGAGGCGCGAAAGCGUGGGGAGCAAACAGGAUUAGAUACCCGGGUAGUCCCUGUCUCUUAUAA